rnacentral:rRNA from 1 species
UACAGAGGUGGCAAGCGUUGUUCGGAAUUACUGGGCGUAAAGCGCGUGUAGGCGCCCUGCAAGUCGGAUGUGAAAUCCCACGGCUCAACCGUGGAAGUGCAUUCGAAACUGCAGGGCUAGAGUCCUGGAGAGGAAGGUGGAAUGCUUGGUGUAGAGGUGAAAUUCGUAGAUAUCAAGCGGAACACCGGUGGCGAAGGCGGCCUUCUGGACAGUGACUGACGCUGAGACGCGAAAAGCGGUGGGGAGGCAAAC